rnacentral:rRNA from 1 species
GACGAACGCUGGCGGCGUGCUUAACACAUGCAAGUCGAACGGAAAGGCCCUGCUUGCAGGGUGCUCGUGUGGCGAACGGGUGGGUAACACGCGGGUGAUCUGCCCCCUACUUUGGGAUAAGCCUGGGCAACUGGGUCUAAUACUGGCUAGGUCCUUGCUGUAGGCGGUGUGGUGGAAAGAUUAGUUCCGGUUAGGGAUGAGCUCGCGGCCUAUCAGCUUGUUGGUGGGGUAUUGGUCUACCAAGGCGUCGCCGGGUAGCCGGCCUGAGAGGGUGGACGGCCACAUUGGGACUGAGAUACGGCCCAGACGCCUACGAGAGGCAGCAGUGGGGGAUAGUGCACAAUAGGCGCAAGCCUGAUGCAGCGACGCCGCGUGGGGCGUGACGGCCUUCUGGUUGUAAACACCAUACGGCCAUGACGAAGCCCUUGUGGUGACGGUAGUGGUAGAAGAAGCACCGGCUAACUACGUG